rnacentral:misc_RNA from 1 species
AUGAUAUUGAGUUUGACAUGAUUGGCAUUGAUCCAUCACUUGCUAAUGCAUUUCGAAGAAUCCUGAUAGCCGAGGUUCCCACUAUGGCUAUUGAAAAAGUUCUUGUUGCUAACAAUACAUCAAUAGUCCAAGAUGAAGUGCUUGCCCAUAGGUUAGGUCUCAUUCCAAUUCAUGUUGAUCCGAGGCUUUUUGAGUACUCAGAUAAAGACACG